CGGCACAGCCUGAGCGGCCGCAGGGUCCUGAGCAACGGGGCUGGCGGUGCUGAGGGCGAGCCGGCAACAUCAAUGCUUACACACACAGAGUCCGCAUUUAUUGUUUCUCCUGGAGCAGCACUCCCAGACACCAGCCCUGGACCCCUGCCCUACUCUGCCAUACCCGGCCCGCUACAGAUCAUCAUAUUUUACAGACUGCCUCUCUGUGUCACUUAACAUACAGAAAAUCUUUAAAAACCCGUAAAAGUUGAUAAAUCCUA